rnacentral:lncRNA from 12 species
CCCAGGUGGUUCAGCGGUUUAGCGCCGCCUUCAGCCUGGGGCAUGAUCCUGGAGACACGGGACCCAGUCCCACGUCAGGCUCCCUGCGUGGAGCCUGCUUCUCCCUCUGCCUGUGUUUCUGCCUCUCUCUCUCUCUCUCUCUCUCUAUGUCUCUCAUGAAUAAAUAAAUAAAAUCUUUAAAAAAAAAAAAAGAUACAGUCUUUGGGAUAGGGAUUUCUGGCUCUCCCAGAGAUUAGAAUUUAGAGGUAAUUCUGGUGCUCCAAGGGGAAUUGAAGCUACCCAACUCCCCCACCACCUCCUUGAGGGAGCAGUCAUCCCAUCCUGCUGUCCGUCACCAGCUCCAGUCAGGGGCUCCUGCUUCAGUGGAACCUACAUUUGCCAAUGCUGUACUCCGAGGUUACACCCUCGGGUGCUGUCCUCCUUGGGGACGUGCAACGCUAGGCAGCUCAGAAGUCCUGACUUGCACAAAGGAGAAAAGGAGCAAAAUAAAAUCCAAACCUUGGCAGUCUCUUUGUCCAUGAGUUUCAGCAUCUGCAAGCUGUUUGCCAUCAAAAAUGAGCCCCUUGGGGAGGAGUUCUGCAUGUAACUGGAUCCUGAGAAGCUCCAAUUCCCUAGUGACUGAAGACAGACUCCCCCCAUUUCAGGAGCAGAGAGGGUUGCUCCACAGUCACACUGAACUGUGUCAGAUGCUCAAGGAGGACCCUCUCUAAUUAGCCUUGUCUACCUGGUCCCCUGAACACCCUAUGGACCUUUCCUUCACCUCUACUUACAAUACUGUUCUUGCCUGGAUGUGCCUCUCUUCUCUCCCUGCCAUUUAAAUCCUAUUCAUUUUUCAAGGACUGACUGGAAGGCACUUUCUCUCUGGAAGACUCUCAGGUCACCCCGCCCCUGGAGAUCUCUUCCUCCUGUGAAUUAUUCACCUUGCCUGUCUGCACCAUUCAUUUGGCUUCUAAAUGGACCUCACUCCCCUCCAGGUUAGUGGACUUGACUUUGAGACGAGUCUAUUCAGAUGAUUGUGCUUUUCCUGGUAUUUCCUGGUAUUUAUGUGCACAAUAAGCACUCAAAUACUCAU